GUGGUUCUAGCUCAGUGGUAGAGCACUUGCCUAGUGUGUGUGAGGCACUGGGUUCAAUCUUCAGCACCACA
rnacentral:tRNA from 1 species